UUAUUUUUUAUUUGAUACUUCACAUAUUUUUUUUUAUAACUUCUAAACAAGCAAUUAUUUUGGCCAGGAGUUUAAUGGAUGUGGGAGACAAAUUAGCAAGCUUUUGAGACAAAUAAAUAGAACUCAACAGAAAGUCAGAGCUGUUUCAGUUGCUCUCGUUGGCAUCAUUGUUGGUCCUCGGUGCCCACGGCCCAUAUCUUGUUUGUUAGUUGCGCAAAAGGUUGUUUUAUUAUGCGAGAACCCAAAUGCAAGUUUUGACAGUACUGCUUUUGCAUGGGGACGUGUUAUUCUCAGCGUCACGUCACAGGUAUUUGUUUCAAUCUGAUUGCACUGAUCAUGUUUGUCCUAAAUGCUUCUAUGAUUGACUCAUUUAAUGGAGCUCAACUGCUUGCAAUUAUUUUCAAGUCAUAAUUUCCUUCCAGUUUCUACUUCAUUCAGUUCAAACUUCUAACUCAAGAAGUUGAAAUCAGGUUGUUCUGUUGUAAGUUUUUCCAUUAUAAAUAUUCUUAUGACUUAUCCUUCAUUUAAAGCAUAUAGAUGGACUGGAGGAUUGGAAACUAAAGAUCAUGAUGGAUAGCCAACUUGCUCACUAUACUUCAAAUUGCUGCCUUCAUCCCCUAAAUUGGUUUUCAUAUUCUCUCAGCUAGGUUCACUGUAUGGUGCCAAAAUGUUGCAUAAAUUAAUUCAGGCGGUAUCAAACUAUUUGCUGGAGAAUAAUAUGGGAUAAGAAGCGGCUUAAGACUUACUUCAAAAGAUUUACUGAUUUGUGGUGGCCCUCUUGUUUGAUGAUUGGUUUGAAAUAUAUUGGGUGAUGGAUUAAUUUUCCCUUGAAAUUGAAAGCAGCAGAAUCGGUUUGUUAAAAUUGAUUAGAUUUGCAUGGGAUCACAGCUUUUCUGUGGAUUUCGCAUA